rnacentral:rRNA from 1 species
UACGGAGGGUGCAAGCAUUGAUCGGAAUUACUGGGCGUAAAGGGCGCGUAGGCGGCUCUGAAAGUCAGAUGUGAAAUUCCGGGGCUCAACCCCGGAGCUGCAUUUGAAACUUCAGAACUAGAGUACAGUUAGGGUAAACGGAAUUCCACGUGUAGCGGUGAAAUGCGUAGAUAUGUGGAAGAACACCGGUGGUGAAGACGGUUUACUGGGCUGUAACUGACGCUGAGGCGCGAAAGCUAGGGGAGCAAAC